CUAUCUCUCUCUCUCACUCUCUUUCCCUUUCACGUUUUUCUUCCUCUCCUCUCACCCAGAAAUUCAAGCUUUCCUCUCUUCAAGUUUCUUUUCUCUUCUUGAAUAUUAGGAACAUGGAUCAAAAUUUAUCAGAUUCAUCUUCAGAUGCUGCAGAUGAGGAAUUUUGGGAUCUUGCCAAUUCAUCAUCAGACGAAGAAUUGAUGAAUCUGGAGAUUGCUGCUCUACAAGAGAAGGGAAGAAGAAGACGCCGGGGCUCAAUUCCUGGUUGCAUAUAUAAAGAUAGACAACGAUUGCAAGGCUAAGAUAGAAAAGGUUAAGAAGAGAAGGGAGGAAAGAGCACUUGAAAAAGCUCAACAUGAGGAAGAAAUGGCGCUGCUUGCCAGAGAACGCUCUCGGGCUGAGUUCCAAGACUGGGUGAAAAAAGAAGAAGAGUUCCACUUUGAUCAAAGCAAAAUGAUGUCAGAGAUCAGAUUGCUUGAAGGGCGUAUCAAGCCAAUUGAUGUACUUUCCAAGCAUCUUGAUGGCUCAGAUGUUUAUUAUCUAUGCUGAAACUGAAGCUUUACUGACCUUCAAGAGCAGAUUGGAAAAUAUCCGUGUCUCAAACAAUGGACAUUUCAGUAGUAUAUUAUAAACUGAAGGACCCUUGUCAACUUAGCACCAUUUGCUCCAAGAGUUUUCAUGUCACAAUUUGUCCUGGUCUUAAUGAUGUCAUCAGACAGCAGCCAAAGAAAGGGUAAAACAAAUUUAAUGCAUAUGAUUAACACCCGUAUAUGCCUAAUUCUGGUGGUUAAGAUGGCAGAAGAGAAUGAUAAAGAACCGGGAAUCUGCUGCUCAUUCACGUGCAAGGAAGCAGGCUUAUACAAACGAACUGGAGAACAAAGUUUCACGUCUGGAGGAGGAAAAUGAAAGGCUAAGGAAGCAAAAGACACAUUGUUGGGAAUUAAGGAUUUAUUCCUUAAGCAUCCAGAAGAGAUGAACCACUAUCAGUUAAGUUACAGUUCAAUUUGCUGUCAUGUUGCAUUGUGGUCAGACAUUCAAUGCUGGUGAGCUUGGUGAAGACAGAAUAGACUGGAGAACAAAGUUUCACGUCAUGAAAGCCUUAUAGAUUUUUUUGUUUGGAUCAGUUCGUUGGUUUCCAGCGAUGCACUUGAUGUUUAUGUUGAAAAGCUGUUUAUGUUUUGAUUAUAUGUAUUCCCAUAUCUCAAAUGUCUCAUAAUCCCAAUUGCAUCUCAAUUGAUUUACAAGAUAAAAAAAAAAAGGAAAAACAACAUAAAUAGAAUUUUAUAUAUUAAAGUAAUAUUCAAAUUUGACAUAACCAUUGGAGUUUAAAGGAUGUCAAAAUGUUGUUAUAUCAAAUUUGCCAUGUCAUAUGUCAAAUUCAAAUUUGACCCAAACCAAAAGAAAAGGCCAUUGGAGAUGCUCUAAGUAACUAAGAGCAUCUCCAAUGGAUAUUUCUUUUGGCUUGUGUCAAAUUCGAAUUUGACAUGUGACAUGGCAACCUUCAUUUUUUUGCUAAUCUUACUCCAACCAAUAAGUCAAAAUUGUUUGUUAUUUUAAUAUAUUCUAUUCUAUCUAUUUUGUUUUGGCUUGUAGAAUUCUCUCUCUCUCUCAUUCUCUCUGCACAUUAGUUUGGUUUUUAUUUUCUGGGUUCCUGUUGGCUAAGCUACCUACUAGCUGCAAAUGUCUGCAGAGGAUCACAUGAAUCUAUCUAUAAAUGGUCAGUCUCAGGUCCCUCCAGGCUUUCGGUUCCAUCCAACCGAAAAGGAGCUUCUUAACUGCUAUCUCUGGAAGAAAGUUGUCUAUGAGAGGAUUGAUCUUGACGUCAUUCGAGAGGUUGAUCUUAACAAGCUCAAGCCAUUUUUUGUCAAAAUAAAAUUGCAA